UUUAAUUGGUUCAGAAGAACG
rnacentral:piRNA from 1 species